rnacentral:lncRNA from 1 species
AGCAAACAACACUCAGUAUAAACACCAGACCUGACUACUUAAUAUGGACAGGGCAUCACUCGGGGAACUACAAAAUCAAACAUGGGUACCACAGACUACGAGCAGCAACCAUAACAAACACAGAGAACUAGGCAUCAUCUUCUUUUCAAGUCCCCAAACGACUAUGGAAGGAAAUAUGGCACCUACAUACUAAUCCCAGAAUCAGGCACUUCAUGUGGAGCUUAUGUACCGAAGGCCUUCCUACGAGACUCAACCUAUGCCGGAGGAAAAUCUUACCUGAGCCUACUUGCCCUUUCUAUCACGAGCAUCCGAAGUCCUCCGAGCAUCUAUUUAUCCUGUGCUAGUGGACAAACGCACUAUGGCUGAACUUCAGUGAUCAAAUCAACACCUCCCCGACAUCAGUUACAAGAAUAGAUCAGUGGGUAUGCAACUACCUCUUCUCCGGCAACUCAGCAAGUCAAAAGGCGACCUUCGCGACCACUCUGUGGUACAUAUGGAAAGCACGAAACGAC